rnacentral:rRNA from 1 species
AACGAACGCUGGCGGCAUGCCUAACACAUGCAAGUCGAACGAGAUCUUCGGAUCUAGUGGCGCACGGGUGCGUAACGCGUGGGAAUCUGCCCUUGGGUUCGGAAUAACAGUGAGAAAUUACUGCUAAUACCGGAUGAUGUCUUCGGACCAAAGAUUUAUUGCCCAGGGAUGAGCCCGCGUAGGAUUAGCUAGUUGGUGGGGUAAUGGCCUACCAAGGCGACGAUCCUUAGCUAGUCUGAGAGGAUGAUCAGCCACACUGGGACUGAGACACGGCCCAGACUCCGACGGGAGGCAGCAGUGGGGAAUAUUGGACAAUGGGCGAAAGCCUGAUCCAGCAAUGCCGCGUGAGUGAUGAAGGCCUUAGGGUUGUAAAGCUCUUUUACCAGGGAUGAUAAUGACAGUACCUGGAGAAUAAGCUCCGGCUAACUCCGUGCCAGCCGCCGCAGUAA